GCCAGCAGCCAUAUCACCCUGCAGCUCACAGCAAUCGGCCCCUCUGAAGCCCAGCAGGUGUGAGCCUGGCCAGUACCUGGAUGGGAGACCUCCUGGGGAAAACUAAGGCUGCUGCUGGAA
rnacentral:rRNA from 1 species